rnacentral:lncRNA from 1 species
AAUCCCCACUCGUGACUGCAACUAUGCCUAUCAGUAAGGACCUCAGAAAGAAACACCUUGAAAGCGCUUUCUUGUGUGCUCGAAAUGCCGUGCAAUUUACUACAAAACCCAGAGGAAUUUUUCUCCAGGGAAAAACCCGCUUGCAGCAACAUUCUUUCAUUUCNUAAUGGAGGGGAGNGAUUUGUCCAGCCCUGGAUGGUGCCAUUUCCUGUUUAAUUCAAAAGGAAAGUGUGAUUGUUCCNCUAAAGAACGCACUGGANGACUUCACUGGGAGAACCUGGUGGAUAUCUAAAAUGGCAAUGAUGAAAGNGGGUCUCCUAUUGCUACUAGCUGUAUUUCUUCACAUUUUAGAAGGGUUUGUUUCAAUAGAGAGGAUUUCUGAAAAGAUGGUUUCGAUCUACGAUGAAGAUCAUGAGAAUUAUUCCAUUUACUACAACGACAGUGAAGAUUUCUUCUNUUCCUAUUAUUAUUAUGACGAUAACUUCACCUAUUCCGUUGAAAAUGGCACAGUGGUUUAUCCUCUGACUGCAACUCCAUCACAAAAAACUCCUGAAAGCUCAGCAAGGCUUUUAUUGCCGUGCACUUUCUCUGUGGUGAGCCUGCUUCAAAUUCUUCACUUCCACACGCAANACCUCUGGAUAUGGUUAUAG